UAUACUUGGUGUAUCUGAACAAAACAGAUAUUUCCGUCAUAAUCCAGACAACUUCCUGAACAGAGAUAUCAGUAAAAUGUUUAUAAAACACACUUCUGUGCACAUAGCUCAGUGUGGAAAGCAAACACACCCUCCAACAGACUUGCCAUAAAUGGAAAAGAUUUUUUGGGGUGAUGAAUUGAUAAGCGGCCAAACAAAACAAUGUGACACUCUACACUAUUAUCUAGUGUGGACAUUGCUCUAUAGGACAGUCAAGGUUAGCUCACAAUCUGAAAGACCUAGAAAUCGGAGAUAAAGGACAGGGGCUUCAGAACUUCAACAGAAAAGACCUGUGUGACACAAGACAUUGGAUAACCUGGAAAACUACAGUCUAACCAGUACACACCACACAUGGUUUCUCAGCUGGCCAAUUCUUAAAAGGUUUUGAUGUACCAAAAGUGACCACUGACCGAUCUACUGACAGCUGCAUCCAAGGAAUGACCACUUGGUCUCAAUA